rnacentral:rRNA from 1 species
AUGUUGGCGCUUGCCCAGCCGGAUAAAAAUCAGGAGACUCAUUUUCAUACCACAGUGAACCACAUCACGCAGUCCAUGAAGACACAGAAAAUCAAGAGGCCGCUUGACGAAGUUGCAAUAUGUUUCUUUAACACCAAAGAAAAGAGAAAUUUACAGGAUCUGGCUGGCGUAUAUGUUUACAAUGCCACAGAAAGAGAUUCUCUCGAUAGGCCUAAUGAAGGAUUGAUUACCGAGUUUUCUUGCAUAGAAGAUUCUUUUAUGAACAACAUUGGAAGUCAAUAUGGAAUGACCUCUGGAUCUAAGGAAAAUGCCCUGUACAAUGCUCUUUGGGUUGCACAGGCACUACUGUGCAAAGGAUCUCUGAGGACUCUGAGUAAGAGAAUUCUCAUAUUCACCAACCAGGAUGAUCCUUUUAUUGGCAUUACAGGAGCAGCAAAGACUGAUAUGAUUAGGAGAACGAUUCAAUAUGGAAAAGAUGCACGAGCUCUUGGCCUGUCUAUCGAACUUCCAUUGAGCAAGUCUGAUGAGAAUUUCAACAUGUCCCUGUUUUAUGCGGAUUUGAUUGGUCUGGACGAGGAUGAAAUAGUGCCAUAUAUGCCAUCUUCUGGUGAAAAGAUGGCUGCUGACAACAAGAUGCAUUUCCUGAAGCUGGAGGAGGAGGUGGUGAUCCCGACUACGUUCAAAUGUGCCAUUACUUAUGACUUGCUCUUCAAACCGGUGGUCUUGGUUUGUGGACACACCUUCUCGUUCUGGAGUAUUGCUGAGCAUAUGAGCAUCUUAGUUGACACUCUAUGCCCCUUGUGCAAGACGCAGUUUGCACAUUUUCCAAAAAUAUGUGAGACUUAUCAUACUUUGGUUAAGAAAUUGAAACCAGCGGAGUAUGCAAGAGUUGAAGCGGAAUUUUUAGAACAAGAGAGAAGCUUGGGGAGAUCAUCUCCACCAGUUGAUGUUGGUUUGCAGGAUGAGCUUUGUUUUGAGUGUAACAAGCUACUAUACAAGCCAUCAGUCUUAAAUUGUGGACACGUUUGUUGCAAAAGCUGCUUGCCAUCUAGUGAUGGGCUAUUGGCAUGCAAGCGUUGCGGAGUGUUCAUCCAGGGAAGUUUCCCUCUGUGUGCAUUUCUCUGGAUGAGAUCAUCCAAGAGUUCUUCCCGCGGGAGUACGCUGCAAGGGCUGAGGCUGUUGGACUAA